UUUCUAUUCAUCUCCGCCGCUCCUCAUCCUGUAAAGCUAAACAAAUAAUCAGAGGAACGAAGGAGACAGCUUCUGCGAAAUCAGCAUGAGAGCCAAGGUUAGUAAUGGGUUUUGAUUGUUUAAUGG
rnacentral:sRNA from 1 species